rnacentral:rRNA from 1 species
UCAAAUGAGGAAAGGCUUACGGUGGAUACCUAGGCACCCAAAGAUGAGGAAGGGCGUACUAAUUGACGAAAUGUUCUGAGGAGUUGAAAAUAAGCAUAGAUCUGGAGAUUCCCGAAUAGGGAAACCUUUCGAACUACUGCUGAAUCCAUGGGCAGGUAAGAGAUAACCUAGCGAACUGAAACAUCUUAGUAGCCGAGGAAAAGAAAAAAAACAAUUUCCGUAGUAGCGACGAGCGAAAUGGGAGCAGCCUAAAUCGUGAAAAUGGGCUUGUGGGAGAGCAAUAUAAGCGUCGUGCUGCUAGGCGAAACAACACAAAUGCUGCACCCUAGAUGGGAAAAGUCUAGUAGCCGAAAGCAUCACUAGCUUACACUCUAACCCGAGUAGCAUGGGACACGUGAAAUCCCGUGUUAAUCAGCAAGGACCACCUUGCAAGGCUAAAUACUCCUGGGUGACCAAUAGCGAAGUAAUACCGUGAGGGAAAGGUGAAAAGAACCCCCAUUGAGAAGUGAAAUAGAAUAUGAAACCAUAAGCUCCCGAGUAGUGGGAGGAGCUAGGUCUCUGACCACAUACCUAUUGAAGAAUGAGAAGGUGACUCAUAGGCAGUUUCUUGGUUAAGGGAACCCAUUGGAGCUAUCGCGAAAGUGAGUCUUCAUAGGGCAAUUGUCAUUGCUUAUGGACCCAAACCUAGGUGAUCUAUCCAUGACUAGGAUGAAGCUUGGGUGAAACUAAGUAGAGGUUCAAACCAACUGAUGUUGAAGAAUCGACAAAUGAGUUGUGGUUAAGGGUGAAAUGCCACUCGAACCUAGAGCUAGCCGGUUCUCCUAGAAAUACGUUGAGACGGAGUAGUUGACUGGACAUCUAGGGAUAAAGCACUAUUUCGGUGUGGGCCGCGAGAGCGGUACCAAAUCGAGGCAAACUCUGAAUACUAGAUAUAACCUCAAAAUAACAAGGGUCAAGGUCGGCCAGCAAGACGAUGGGGGAUAAGCUUCAUCGUCGAAAGGGAAACAGCCUAGAUCACCAGCUAAGGCCCCUAAAUGAUCACUCGGUGAUAGAGGAGGUAGGGGUACAGAGACAGCUAGGAAGUUUGCCUAGAAGCAGCCACCCUUGAAAGAGUACGUAAUAGCUCACUGAUCGAGCGCUCUUGCGUCGAAGAUGAAUGGGGCCAAGCAAUCUACUGAAGCUAUGGGAUGUAAAAAUACAUCGAUAGGAGAGCAUUCCACCUUAGAAAAAAGCCCUCGUGUGAGCAGUGGUAGAUGAAGUGGAAGCAAGAAUGUCGACUUGAGUAACACAAACAUUGGUGAGAAUCCAAUGUCUCAAAAACCUAAAGGUUCCUCCACAAGGUUCAUCCAUGGAGGGUGAGUCUGGGACGUAGUCGAUGGACAAUAGGUGAAUAUUCCUGUACUAUCCCUUGUUGGUCCCGAGAGACGGAGGAGGCUAGGUUAGCCAAAAGCUGGUUAUCGGUUCAAGAACAUAAGGUACCCCUGCUUUUUCAAGGUAAGAAGGAGUAGAAAAAAUGCCUCGAGCCAAUGUUCGAGCACCAGGGGCUACAGCGCUGAAGUAACCCAUAACAUACUCCCAGGAAAAGCUCGAACGACCUUUAAACAAAAGGGUACCUAUACCCAAAACUGACACAGGUAGGUAGGUAGAGAAUGGGCGAGAAUCAACUCUCUCUAAGGAACUCGACAAAAUAGCCCCGUAACUUCGGGAGAAGGGGUACUUCCUCACAAAGGGGGUCGCAGUGACCAGGCACGGGUGACUAUUUACCAAAAAUACAGGUCUCCAAAAAGUCAUAAGACCAUGUACACUGACACCUGCCCAGUACUGAAAGGUCAAGGAGUUGGUGACCUGAUGAUAGGAGAGUCGACGACCGAAGCCCCGGUGAAUGGCGACCGUAACUAUAACGGUCCUAAGGUAUCAAAACUCCUUGUCAUGUAACUUUUAACCUAGACGAAAGGUGUAACGAUCUGGGCACUAUCUAAGAGAGAGGCUUUGUGAAAUAGACAUGUCUGUGAAGAUGUUGACUACCUGCACCUAGACAGAAAGAUCCUAAGGUAGACCAAUGGAAAGUCGUAUACUUUGGAAGAAGCUUGUACAGUUUGGGAAGGGGUUUUAAUUGAUCAAAAAGAAGAAUCUACUUCAAACAAUAUACCCUUAGGCAUGGCCAUACAUAACAUAAAAAUCACACUUGGGGGUGGACAAUUAGUUAGAGUAGCGGCUGCUGUAGCGAAACUAAUUGCAAAAGAGGGGAAAUCGGCCACAUUAAAAUUACCUUCUGGGGAGGUCAGUUUGAUAUCCAAAAACUGCUCAGUAACAGUCGGACAAGUGGGGAAUGUUGGGGUGAACCAGAAAAGUUUGGGUAGAGACAGAUCUAAGUGUUGGCUAGGUAAGCGUCCUAUAGUAAGAGAAGUAGUUAUGAACCCUAUAGACCAUCCUCAUGGGGGUGGUGAAGGGAGAGCCCCAAUUGGUAGAAAAACCCUUAACCCUUUGGGGUUAUCCUACAAUAGGAAGCAGAAGUAGAAAAAGAAAUAAACAUAGUGAUAAUUUGAUUCUUCAUCGCCGU